AACGAACGCUGGCGGCAUGCCUAACACAUGCAAGUCGAACGAGACCUUCGGGUCUAGUGGCGCACGGGUGCGUAACGCGUGGGAACCUGCCCUUAGGUUCGGAAUAACUCCCCGAAAGGGGUGCUAAUACCGGAUAAUGUCUUCGGACCAAGGAUUUAUCGCCUUUGGAUGGGCCCGCGUUGGAUUAGCUAGUUGGUAGGGUAAAAGCUUACCAAGGCGACGAUCCAUAGCUGGUCUGAGAGGAUGAUCAGCCACACUGGGACUGAGACACGGCCCAGACUCCUACGGGAGGCAGCAGUGGGGAAUAUUGGAACAUGGGCGAAAGCCUGAUCCAGCAAUGCCGCGUGAGUGAUGAAGGCCUUAGGGUUGUAAAGCUCUUUUAACCGGGAUGAUAAUGACAGUACCGGGAGAAUAAGCUCCGGCUAACUCCGUG
rnacentral:rRNA from 1 species